rnacentral:lncRNA from 1 species
GGUGAGCCUGUAAAGUUUUAGGAUCAAGGUUAAAGGCCCUUUUUUGCUCUCUUCUCUCUUGGACCUUCAGGCGACGGCUUGGGUAUCUUCCAAGCGAAUUUUCCUUUCUUUCCUGUUCUUUUUUUUUUUUGAGACGGAGUCUUGCUCUGUCGCCCAGGCUGGAGUGCAGUGGCGUGAUGUCGGCUCACUGCAAGCUCCGCCUCCCGGGUUCACGCCAUUCUCCUGCUUCAGCCUCCUGAGUAGCUGGGGCUACAGGCGCCCGCCACCACGCCCGGCUAAUUUUUUUGUAUUUUUUUUUUUAGUAGAGACGGGGUUCCACCGUGUUAGCCAGGAUGGUCUCGAUUUCCUGACCUCGUCAUCCUCCCGCCUUGGCCUCCCAAAGUGCUGGGAUUACAGGCUUGAGCCACCGCGCCCCGCUCUUUCGUGUUCCAAAGGCUUUUUAAAUAAACUUCCACUCCUGUCCUGGAUUCUGCUUUAUGGCCCUCAGUCGAAUUCUUUCUUCUGAGGAGGCAAGGACUGAAGUUGCUUCUGACCAGUACAGGUACGCCGCAGGAGAAAACGAAUACAGCAGGGAUGACUUCCACCAGCUCCACUUUGCAGCUCUGAGGUGUAUUAAAAAUGACCUGGAAGAAGUCAUGCCACGGGCCAGACCUUAACAUUCCUUUCGGCUUACCCCAGGAUUUCAGACAAAGCUUCACUUUCCUAACCAGUCACAAAUCAGAGAAUUUUUGAUUCCACCUAUGACCUGUGAGCUCCUGCUUCAAGAUAUUCCACCUUUUUUAGGCCAAACCAAUGUAUAACCUCCAAGUGUCGAUUUACACUUUCGACUGUAACUUCUGCUUUCCUGAGAUUUACCCCUGCCUUUAAAAACCCUUGCUUGUAAUCCCUCAGGGAGGCCGUGUAUUUAUUAAUCAUGAGCUGCCCAAUUCUCCUUGCUUGGUGCCCUGCAAAUAAACACCCUCUUUUCUCCCACUGCAAAA